CCUACGGGCGGCUGCAGUAGGGAAUAUUGCUCAAUGGGGGAAACCCUGAAGCAGCAAUGCCGCGUGGAGGAUGAAGGUUUUCGGAUUGUAAACUCCUUUGGUUAGAGAAGAUAAUGAUGGUAUUUAACGACUACGCACCGGCUAAUUCCGUGCCAGCAGCCGCGGUAAUACGGAGGGUGCAAGCGUUACUCGGAAUCACUGGGCGUAAAGAGCGCGUAGGCGGGAUGGCAAGUCAGAUGUGAAAUCCUAGGGCUUAACCAUAGAACUGCAUUUGAAACUGUUACUCUAGAGUAUGGGAGAGGUAGGUAGAAUUCUAGGUGUAGGGGUAAAAUCCGUAGAGAUCAGGAGGAAUACUCAUGGCGAAGGCGACCUGCUAGAACAUAACUGACGCUGAUGCGCGAAAGCGUGGGGAGCAAACAGGAUUAGAUACCCCAGUAGUC
rnacentral:rRNA from 1 species